rnacentral:rRNA from 1 species
UGGGGAAUAUUGCACAAUGGAGGGAACUCUGAUGCAGCGACGCCGCGUGAGUGAUGAAGGAAUUCGUUUCGUAAAACUCUGUUCUAUGGGAAGAAAAGGACUGUACCAUAGGAGAAAGCUCCGGCUAAAUACGUGCCAGCAGCCGCGGUAAUUCGUAUGGAGCGAGCGUUGUCCGGAAUUAUUGGGCGUAAAGGGUGCGCAGGCGGCUUUACAAGUUGGAUGUGAAAUAUUGUGGCUCAACCACAAACGUGCAUCCAAAACUGCAAAGCUUGAGUUAAGGAGAGGUAAGUGGAAUUCCUGGUGUAGCGGUGGAAUGCGUAGAUAUCAGGAGGAAUACCGGUGGCGAAGGCGACUUACUGGACUUAAACUGACGCUCAGGCACGAAAGCGUGGGGAGCAAACAGG